rnacentral:rRNA from 1 species
GAUAAACGCUGGCGGCGUGCCUAACACAUGCAAGUCGAACGCUCUGAGCAAUCAGAGAGUGGCGGACGGGUGAGUAACACGUGGGCUAUCUGCCCUAAGGUGAGGAAUACCGGCGAGAAAUUGUCGACAAUACCGCAUACGCUCGGAAACGAGCAAAGUCCGCAAGGACGCCUUUGGAUGAGCCUGCGCUCGAUUAGUUGGUUGGUGGGGUAAUGGCCUACCAAGACUUCGAUCGAUAGCUGGUCUGAGAGGACGAUCAGCCACACUGGGAUUGAGAACGGCCCA